UGUGGUGUGGUUCAGCAGCUGAGUGCUUGCCUCGCAUGCGUGAAGCACUGGGUUCGAUCCUCAGCACCACAU
rnacentral:tRNA from 1 species